AGCAACGCGAAGAACCUUACCAGGUCUUGACAUCCUCUGACAACCCUAGAGAUAGGGCUUUCCCCUUCGGGGGACAGAGUGACAGGUGGUGCAUGGUUGUCGUCAGCUCGUGUCGUGAGAUGUUGGGUUAAGUCCCGCAACGAGCGCAACCCUUGAUCUUAGUUGCCAGCAUUCAGUUGGGCACUCUAAGAUGACUGCCGGUGACAAACCGGAGGAAGGUGGGGAUGACGUCAAAUCAUCAUGCCCCUUAUGACCUGGGCUACACACGUGCUACAAUGGACGGUACAAAGGGCAGCGAGACCGCGAGGUUUAGCCAAUCCCAUAAAACCGUUCUCAGUUCGGAUUGUAGGCUGCAACUCGCCUACAUGAAGCUGGAAUCGCUAGUAAUCGCGGAUCAGCAUGCCGCGGUGAAUACGUUCCCGGGCCUUGUACACACCGCCCGUCACACCACGAGAGUUUGUAAC
rnacentral:rRNA from 1 species